UACGACACAGGAGAAGUUCCUGAUUUUAACAUUUCUGAAGGGAGCUGCUGACAUAUAGAAAACACAGAUUCUUCCAUGCUGAUGGCCGUGCACUAGAGUUGGAGCGUAUCUCCUGUCGAAGAACAUAUCUAGACAUUAUGAACCAUAUGACUAAGACUGAAAAUCAUCAAUAAACCACAAGAGUUUAGCUCCAACCCCAAUUAAGCAGACCUGAGCAGCUGAUCAAGGAUCACCAGAAACUUUGCAGAACGUUGGUCCUCCAUGCCCAGGACUGGACACCAGUGUUGUAAGUCAUCAAUCUAGCAGUCAUCCUGCCUCUCUGAAUUGUCAUGUUCAGAAUAUAUUGCAGGAGAUCUUAACAUUGUCUCUCAAGGUCCACUUACAUGCAGCGUUUUGCUCCAACCUAGUGCAGUGCACCUGAACACACUAAUCAAGGUUUUCAGUUUUACUAACUAUCAAGUCACAAACAGGUGAGUGUGAUCAGGUGUGGACCU